rnacentral:rRNA from 1 species
UACGAAGGGGGCUAGCGUUGUUCGGAAUUACUGGGCGUAAAGCGUGCGCAGGCGGUUGUGCAAGACCGAUGUGAAAUCCCCGGGCUCAACCUGGGAAUGGCAUUGGUGACUGCACGGCUAGAGUGUGUCAGAGGGGGGUAGAAUUCCACGUGUAGCAGUGAAAUGCGUAGAGAUGUGGAGGAAUACCGAUGGCGAAGGCAGCCCCCUGGGAUAACACUGACGCUCAUGCACGAAAGCGUGGGGAGCAAACAGG